rnacentral:rRNA from 1 species
GAUGAACGCUAGCUACAGGCUUAACACAUGCAAGUCGAGGGGCAGCGGGAUUGAAGCUUGCUUCAAUUGCCGGCGACCGGCGCACGGGUGAGUAACGCGUAUCCAACCUUCCGUACACUCAGGGAUAGCCUUUCGAAAGAAAGAUUAAUACCUGAUGGUAUGAUGAGAUUGCUUGAUAUCAUCAUUAAAGAUUUAUCGGUGUACGAUGGGGAUGCGUUCCAUUAGGUAGUAGGCGGGGUAACGGCCCACCUAGCCAACGAUGGAUAGGGGUUCUGAGAGGAAGGUCCCCCACAUUGGAACUGAGACACGGUCCAAACUCCUACGGGAGGCAGCAGUGAGGAAUAUUGGUCAAUGGACGAGAGUCUGAACCAGCCAAGUAGCGUGAAGGAUGAAGGUCCUACGGAUUGUAAACUUCUUUUAUAAGGGAAUAAACCCUCCCACGUGUGGGAGCUUGUAUGUACCUUAUGAAUAAGCAUCGGCUAACUCCGUG